ensembl:rRNA n-R5s12 nuclear encoded rRNA 5S 12
GUCUAGGGCCACACCACUCUGAACACUCCUGAUCUUGUCUGAUCUCAGAAGUUAAGUAGGCUCAGGCCUGGUUAGUACUUGGAUGAGAUUUUGCCUGGGAAUACCGGGUGUUAUAGGAA